AGUGCGAAUGUAUCUGACCCCCAGUAACAUAGUCCUACUGACUGCCAUCGCUCUGAUCGGAGUGUGUGUUUUCAUCCUGGUCAUCAUUGGCAUCCUCCACUGGCAGGAGAAGAAAGCGGACGACCGGGAGAAGAGACAGGAAGCACACCGGUUCCAUUUUGAUGCCAUGUGAAGGAGCACAGGAAGAGAUGGACCAAAAGUCAUGCCAGCUUUCUGUUUUAUUUAAGUUUGCUGGUCGAUGGAAUUGUUUAUUUAUUUGAUCCCCUCAGCCUCUUGACGAUGAGCCAUUUAAAGUGUUUAUAUAUCCAUUAGACAUUAUCAAAUGUAAAAGAGACAGACAGGUUACUUCUGGCAUACUUGCACAGUUUUGGUUGGAAUUUGAAUGUUCUUUUUUUUUAUUCACAUUUCCUUAUACAUUUCAUGGGCCAAAAUGAUGGAUGCACCCAAAUCUAAUCAGGACUACUGAGUGAAAUUACACUGAGUUAUAUCCCAGUUUCCUUUUUUUAUUCAAUGGUUUGGCUCAGCUCAUUAUGUAUGCUUGUCAAAUGGGCACUAACAGUUUGCGUCAUGAAUUUUGCAAUAAUGUUUAAAUGUUCAAUGCAAGUCAUCCUGAUCUGCAAAACACAUUACCGAUGUGUUUGUUUUGGGGGAGGCAUUGCUAUUGUAAUGCUACUUGAAUAUUUAUGUCCGUCGUCCAUUGUCUUCCUGUAUGUCAAUCUGCAAAGGUUAUUGUUUCCUGUUUUACUACUACAGUGAGAUCUUACACAUAGAGUCCACUGACCCAAACAGGGUACUUACACUGGAUGCAUCCAUUGUGCUCUACUGUAUAUAAUGCACAUAGUACAUGGUCCAUAAUGAGGGGUUAGUGUACGUGUCAAGUUCAUUAUGUAUUUUUCCUCUCCUUUUUUUUCCCAAAUUCCCCUCCAAAUACCGGACACAAUGUCUUCUCCUUGUUUGAUCGCUCCCACUCUCCACUGCCGUCACUCACGGUGGUCUUGGAAUGGCCUGUACUACUGACCCCUCUGGUUUGGUCAUGUCCUUUAGCUUUUUAGUCUUUCUCACUCUUAAUAAUCGUGUUUGUCUCGCAUGAUAAACAUGGUGUGUUUUUGGAGUGCCAAACACUUGUGUUCAUUCAAAAUCUAAAUGAAACUGUGGCGGUCAAUUGAAGAAUGGUCCACAUAACACUUAAACUACUUCUACUUACAGGGGGAAAUAGGUGUGUUCUUUAACCAACAGGAAGUGCACUCAUACAUAUUAUCACCAAUGUCAAAGCUUCUUCUAUUAAUCAUUCUAUUUCAUUUGGAAUUAACGUGGGGCACGUGUCAUCUCAUGUCUGUGGUUUGAACUUUUUUUUUUUUUUUAUAUAAUGAUUGAUAGUGAUCAGUCUAAUUGAUUGUAUUUCUGUGUUUGUGUGUGGAUUGUGCGUGUAAUCGGAAAUGUUCAACUGAAGUGUGAUCAUUUCUGUUGAGAAUGUUUCUGGGAUGAUGGGUUGAAAAUUAAAGUGUUUAUCGUGCUUAA